CAGACGCUCGCUUCAGUUCACUGAGAGAUGGCAGAGAAGGAGUCAGAGUCACCGUGGCCCUACCUAAAUAGUUAUGAGUUUUUGUGAAAAAACGGAGAAAAGUUGUUUUCAGGUGCCUACUGUGCCAGCCCUAGGCGAAGUUUCUGUCAACUUCAAAGACGUCAAAUACAAAUCUGAGAACCCAUAUACAGCUAAACAGCCUCACAGACCUACAAUGAGAGAUGAAUGCAGAGAGUUCAGACAUCCUUCAGAGCGUCAUCGCCAUUUGAAGUGGGAAACCACUGUGGGGGCCAGCUGGCUUUAAUGCUGGGUCUGUCCUUCAGCAGGCUGUAAUAUUUGGCCAGUUUGGGGUAACGUUCAACAGACAGCCUAAAGAGGAGACAAAAUGUUAUCGUGCCACUUCAAAAGCAGAUUGGACUCAGUCGUUCAGGAAACUCAGUCACCUACUUGAAAUGAAACGCAUAGGCGACGUUUGGAAAGAAAAUCACGUCGGCUAAGGAGAAGGGCCCCGCCAGGUAUCCCUCCCAGAGUCGAAGCUCAGUGGCCAGAGCUUCCUUGUUUCUCUUCAGAGCGGAGUCGUGUCUCUCCCCUUCAGGGGUAAGGAAGUCAUAGUAGGCCACUGAAUCUAAAAC